rnacentral:rRNA from 1 species
CUCCUCUGACGUUAGCGGCGGACGGGUGAGUAACACGUGGAUAACCUACCUAUAAGACUGGGAUAACUUCGGGAAACCGGAGCUAAUACCGGAUAACAUGUUGAACCGCAUGGUUCAACAGUGAAAGACGGUCUUGCUGUCACUUAUAGAUGGAUCCGCGCCGCAUUAGCUAGUUGGUAAGGUAACGGCUUACCAAGGCAACGAUGCGUAGCCGACCUGAGAGGGUGAUCGGCCACACUGGAACUGAGACACGGUCCAGACUCCUACGGGAGGCAGCAGUAGGGAAUCUUCCGCAAUGGGCGAAAGCCUGACGGAGCAACGCCGCGUGAGUGAAGAAGGUCUUCGGAUCGUAAAACUCUGUUAUUAGGGAAGAACAAAUGUGUAAGUAACUAUGCACGUCUUGACGGUACCUAAUCAGAAAGCCACGGCUAACUACGUGCCAGCAGCCGCGGUAAUACGUAGGUGGCAAGCGUUAUCCGGAAUUAUUGGGCGUAAAGCGCGCGUAGGCGGUUUUUUAAGUCUGAUGUGAAAGCCCACGGCUCAACCGUGGAGGGUCAUUGGAAACUGGAAAACUUGAGUGCAGAAGAGGAAAGUGGAAUUCCAUGUGUAGCGGUGAAAUGCGCAGAGAUAUGGAGGAACACCAGUGGCGAAGGCGACUUUCUGGUCUGUAACUGACGCUGAUGUGCGAAAGCGUGGGGAUCAAACAGGAUUAGAUACCCUGGUAGUCCACGCCGUAAACGAUGAGUGCUAAGUGUUAGGGGGUUUCCGCCCCUUAGUGCUGCAGCUAACGCAUUAAGCACUCCGCCUGGGGAGUACGACCGCAAGGUUGAAACUCAAAGGAAUUGACGGGGACCCGCACAAGCGGUGGAGCAUGUGGUUUAAUUCGAAGCAACGCGAAGAACCUUACCAAAUCUUGACAUCCUCUGACCCCUCUAGAGAUAGAGUUUUCCCCUUCGGGGGACAGAGUGACAGGUGGUGCAUGGUUGUCGUCAGCUCGUGUCGUGAGAUGUUGGGUUAAGUCCCGCAACGAGCGCAACCCUUAAGCUUAGUUGCCAUCAUUAAGUUGGGCACUCUAAGUUGACUGCCGGUGACAAACCGGAGGAAGGUGGGGAUGACGUCAAAUCAUCAUGCCCCUUAUGAUUUGGGCUACACACGUGCUACAAUGGACAAUACAAAGGGUAGCGAAACCGCGAGGUCAAGCAAAUCCCAUAAAGUUGUUCUCAGUUCGGAUUGUAGUCUGCAACUCGACUACAUGAAGCUGGAAUCGCUAGUAAUCGUAGAUCAGCAUGCUACGGUGAAUACGUUCCCGGGUCUUGUACACACCGCCCGUCACACCACGAGAGUUUGUAACACCCGAAGCCGGUGGAGUAACCUUUUGGAGCUAGCCGUCGAAGGUGGGACAAAUGAUUGGGGUGAAGUCGUAACAAGGUAGCCGUAUCGGAAGGUGCGGCUGGAUCACCUCCUUU